rnacentral:rRNA from 1 species
UACGGGGGGGGCAAGCGUUGUUCGGAAUUACUGGGCGUAAAGGGCUCGUAGGCGGCCAACUAAGUCAGACGUGAAAUCCCUCGGCUUAACCGGGGAACUGCGUCUGAUACUGGAUGGCUUGAGUGUGGGAGAGGGAUGCGGAAUUCCAGGUGUAGCGGUGAAAUGCGUAGAUAUCUGGAGGAAUACCGGUGGCGAAGGCGGCAUCCUGGACCGACAUUGACGCUGAUGAGCGAAAGCUAGGGGAGCAAACGGG